AUAAUAACAUGGUAGAGGGAACAUUGUGAUCGGGAAAGUGCUUUCUACAACAUGAGGUUUUAAUAAUGUACUUCUAUUUGGUUGAUUGUUGUGAUUUCUUCAAAUGAGGGAAACUUAGUUGUGUUAUUAUGCUAGCAUGACAGAUUCCUAACACAGUGAAUCCUCUAU